AUGAGUUAAGAAGACAAAUGUUAAUACUAACAACAGAAGAUGAAGAAGAUUAUGUUCAACAAUCAAAUGAUCAAUUCAAGAAUUCAAAAAGAGUAGAAAUGAAAUCUUUAGUGUUACAACAACCUAAAGGAAUUCAAUUUUAUUGGUAUGGAGAUAAAGAGGAUUAUAAUAAAGUUCCAAAAUGGUUAUUGGAUUUAUGGAGUAAAGGGA
rnacentral:misc_RNA from 1 species